AAAAGGGAGAGAGACGGAAGGGACCCUACCUGCUACCACUCCUCAAAGUCUGAAACUGAACCAUCCGAUCGGCCACACAAACCGAAGACCGAACCUUUUCCGUCUCCUUCUUCUGUCGGCCUUAUAUCUGGGUUCGAUUCCAAAAUAACCCUACAUCAGCUUUGUCGGAAAGCAUGUUGUUCUACAUCAAGGGCUUGCUCUAUUUGGUGUGACAUAAAAGAUUGGCUAGGCUUUCCUUGGUAAUUCAUCAAGUAUAUUGUUUAAUCGUCAAUUAUCGUUUAAAGAAAGUGAGCUGCAUGCCAUCUGCUUGUACAUUUUCGAGUUAAUAGUCUUCAUGGCCUUAAGACCUUCAUGUAAAGUUGGGUUCAAUCUCAAUGUAUCCAACAUGGAUGAUAUUCAGUUAAAUACCAAUUGGGAAGAUGUGAUUUGCCCUAUAUGCUUGGAUUUUCCGCAUAAUGGUGUACUCCUCCAAUGCUCAUCUUAUGAGAAAGGAUGCCGUCCUUUUGUGUGUGACACAGACCACUUGCACUCGAAUUGCUUGGACCGUUUCAAAAGUGCUUAUGGCAUGUCAACCCCAUUAACAUCUGAUAUAACUCCCACAGAAAACAGGGAUCCCGUGGCAUCUGAAGGCAACUGUAAACCAUGUUGUCCCUUGUGUAGAGGAGAGGUUACUGGGUGGUUUGUUGUUGACAAGGCCCGUCUAUAUCUGGAUGAGAAGAAACGUUGUUGUGAGGAGCAACAAUGUACAUUUAGGGGAACUUACUUAGAACUGCAAAAGCAUGCUCAACUGGAGCACCCUCAUGCUCGUCCAUCAAAGAUUGAUCCUGCGCGGCAGCUUGAUUGGGAGAAUUUUCAACAGUCCUCUGAGAUCAUAGAUGUUUUGAGCACUAUUCAUUCAGAAGUCCCUCGUGGGGUGGUUUUGGGAGAUUAUGUAAUUGAAUAUGGGGACGAUGAUACUGGAGACGAGUUUGAGGACUUCCCUGGGGAUGAGGGGAACUGGUGGACCUCUUGUAUUUUGUAUCAGGUGUUUGAUAACUUCAGGAAUUCUAGAAACCGAAGAAGGUCAAGAGUUAGUGAUACAAGAAGAGGAAAUCGCCGAACGAGUUAUGAAAAUUCUGUUUCUGAUGAGGGUUCUGUGGCAUCUAUAGAAUUUCCUGAUUAUAGGAUAGAUGAGACUGACGAUGAGUUUGUGAGUACAAAUGUCCCAACGGGUAACUCCAAUCAUCGCAGUUACCCUGUUUUUCAAUGCACAGGACUAAAAUUCUGAAAAAGGUUUUCUUUUUGUAGUAGUAACCUUGAAUAGUGAGGUAGGGGUAUGUUUGCCAUGAUAAAUAGCAUGCAGAUUAGUCUGUAACAUAGCGUUUCCUGGUUUCAUUAGUUUAUGAAAAAUUUACAAGUAUUGCUGUUGUAUUCACAGUUCCCGAAGACGCCGUUCCCGCUUCUAUGACAAUUAGAAGUGAAGUGAAGUGGAGAACAGAGAGAUCCACUGCAAAGUAGAAAAGAUUGCAUGCUUGCUACAGAUCAUCUCAUUGUUAAAACAUGUAAAAGCUACAUCUAGAUCUUAUCUUACUACAUUUGUGAUAAGAUAUGCUGAUUAGACAAGAAUGAACCUGACAAUCCCAUCUGGUUAUGUUAUGACCAUUGUAACAUUCAUCAUUUCUCUUUGGCUUUAAUUGUUUUUUUUUUUUUUUGUCACCCUUAUAGAAUUCUGAAGGAUGCAGAAAGUAUUUACACAA